CAACAUACCUGGACGGGGUCAAUGAGUGAUCAAGAAGGCUCAUGGCCUAGGUUAGUGACCUCCAUUGCACACUUGGGAGGGGUGCUUAGCCUAAGGCUCAUGGCCUAGAUUGUAUGAUUUGAUGACUGGUCAUUGC